GCUGAGGAGUGAUGACAAUAAAAGGCCGAAUUGCAGUGCCCUCAGCAGUUUGCACUCCUUGGGAGCACAAUGACAAAAGUCUUGCGAAGCGAAUCACUGGUCUGACCUUAGU
rfam:Acanthisitta chloris contig114395, whole genome shotgun sequence.